rnacentral:sRNA from 1 species
CCCACCCUUGGAAAGGGUGGGCUACUUUCGGCCGUCCCUGCGGGACU